UACGAGGGGGGCAAAUGUUGUUCGGAAUCACUGGGCGUAAAGGGAGCGUAGGCGGGUUUUUAAGUCAGGUGUUUAAUCCCGGGGCCCAACCCCGGACAGGCACUUGAAACUGGGAAUCUUGAAUAGGGGAGAGGUCAGUGGAAUUGGAGGUGUAGCGGUGGAAUGCGUAGAGAUCUCCAAGAACACCAGUUGCGAAGGCGGCUGACUGGACCCAUAUUGACGCUGAGGCUCGAAAGCAUGGGGAGCAAACGGG
rnacentral:rRNA from 1 species